ACCGUUGCACCCCACUCCGCCGGGCAAGCCUCAACCCCGCCGCUACCUUCCUCCCGCACACUGAUCUGGCCCCUGGAAACCAAUUCCCUCCCCCCGCUCCGUUGCCUCGACGACAGAUCUGAGCGAAGCUGGCCCCGCCGCGCCAUAAGAAGAAGGGAUCGGGCAGCAGCCGCCGUUGACCCCCGCAUGCUCCCUCGCCGAUGGCCCUGAUCCGUUCAUUCACGGUGCCUCGCGACCCUCAGGUCGCCGGGAUCGAGGAGGCUGCCCCGCAUCGGCGCCUCUCCGCGCAUCUUCGGCCGUCCAACCUCGCGCCCCGACGGCCUCCUACAAGCACGGCUCGGGCCUCCUGCUCGCAAGUGCCUCCAGUGGCCGUGGACGCCGGCCACCGUCGGAGCCCCCGCGCCUGUAGCCACGUGAUCCAGCCGGAUCCCCUCAUCCUCGUCCUCGGAUUGUGCGGCGACCUCCACUUCACCGGCACUCGACGACAGGGCAGUGCGGGCGGCAACGCCAUGUAGUUCGCCAUGCGCCCACGGUGGCGACACUGUGUAGUUGGCCACGCUGCCAUUUGCAGCUCGCUGGAGGGACAGAGGAGGUGCAGCGUGCGGAUUUGUAGUUCAGUGGGUGGGAGUUUCGUGCAUUUCUGAAGUAGGAGAGGGAGUCAACUGCAUAGCUGCUCUUGUGAGGUAGUGGAAUUGGUCUUACAAUUUACUUUGAGGAAAAAGGCGAAGUACAGUGCCACCGAAGAGGAUAGGGAACAUGUGGUGCAUAGAAGACUUUUAAGUAUUCUAAUGCUUUUUUUUUUUGACGGUAAGUAUUCUAAUGCUUAUGCACCGCUUUGUUGUUUAGAGCAAAAUUGGCCGUCAAUAUGGAUAAGGUUAUUGGGCAAAUAAAUAGGGACUGUCUACUUUACAGCCGGAUGAAAACCAAUUGGAGUUCAGUCGUUUUUUUCAACCAACUACAACUUGACAAGAGUUCCUGUCCACUAACAGUGUCAAGUCUCUUCCUUAUAACAACGUCAUGAGGCCCAAAUACAAAAGCGUAAGGAAGACUACAGUAAAAGCGAACACCUGAACUAAACUAGGAAGUGCAGCCACUGACACUAUUCUCACAUGUAAAAAAAUGAAGUUACUGAAACGACCAGUCUAAUUUACACUAUGGAAUAAUCACAUGUCAGGUGCCCUCCCUAAAUCACCUCUGUCCCUGAUGCUUCUGUCAAGUACAUCAAUCCAACUGCAGCAUUCCCUCAUAUCAACAUGAUGUUUAUGAAUCCUUAAUUUUCUGUUACAAGUUACAAAAAAAGGAGAACAUAAAAUAGUUCAGAGACUGCAGCCGGUAGAUAAUGGAAGCACUUCUAACAGCUAGUAGACACUAGAAGCACAUCUAGAUCAUAAUUUCAUCGAACUUUACAGAGAAAAUGAGUUUUGUAUACCAUAUCUAGCCAUGUGCAUAUGACUACCAGAUCUUGUAACUCAUGCAAAAGACUAUAGUGAAAAACAACUACCCUCAUUUAUGAAGGUAGAAAGAGAAGACAUGAAAUGCUUCUCCAAA